rnacentral:rRNA from 1 species
GACGAACGCUGGCGGCGUGCUUAACACAUGCAAGUCGAACGGAAAGGCCCUGCUUUUGUGGGGUGCUCGAGGGGCGAACGGGUGAGUAACACGGGAGUAACCUGCCUUUGACGUUGGGAUAACGUCAGGAAACUGGGGCUAAUACAGGAUAGGAGCGCCUGCUGCAUGGUGGGGGUUGGAAAGUUUCGGCGGUUGGGGAUGGACUCGCGGCUUAUCAGCUUGUUGGUGGGGUAGUGGCUUACCAAGGCUUUGACGGGUAGCCGGCCUGAGAGGGUGACCGGCCACAUUGGGACUGAGCUACGGCACAGACUCCUACGGGAGGCAGCAGUGCGGAAUAUUGCACAAUGGGCGGAAGCCUGAUGCAGCAAAGCCGCGUGCGGGAUGACGGCCUUCGGGUUGUAAACCGCUUUCGCCUGUGACGAAGCGUGAGUGACGGUAAUGGGUAAAGAAGCACCGGCUAACUACGUG